rnacentral:rRNA from 1 species
UACGUAGGGUGCGAGCGUUGUCCGGAAUUAUUUGGGCGUAAAGGGCUCGUAGGCGGUUUUGUCGCGUCGGGAGUGAAAACUCAGGGCUUAACCCUGAGCCUGCUUCCGAUACGGGCAGACUAGAGGUAUGCAGGGGAGAACGGAAUUCCUGGUGUAGCGGUGAAAUGCGCAGAUAUCAUUUGGAACGCCAAUGGUGAAGACAGCUCGCUGGGGGUGUACUGACACUGAGACACGAAAGCCAGGGGAGCAAACGGG